UUUCAGAUGCUAAUGAAAAGAGUAAUAUCUGUGACAAAGUGAGAGGAUCACCUGUCUGCUUACCUGAAACUCCUCAGUUAUCAAAGUCAGCAGAAAAAACAUUGGAUGCCAAUGAGAAGAGUAAUAUCUUUGACAAAGUGAGUGGAUCACCUGUCUGCUUACCUGAAACUCCUCAGUUAUCAAAGUCAGCAGAAAAAACAUUGGAUGACGCCAUCUUAGCUGGUAGUAGCAAGACACCAUCUGGUUCUUCUAUCAUAAAUGAGAGUGCCAAAUCUUGGAAUACUGUGACUGGAGCUUGGACUGGUUACCAGUGAUGUAACACUGUAGAGAAACUUUUUGAACCCUCAAAAACAGUUCACAAUGCAUGUCUUUGUAAGAGAACAUAUUGUUCUAGUAUCAGUGUGCAUGAACAGCAAAGGCUUGCCCCAAAAGAAUUAAUUAUAGUUGGCUGAGUAAAGAAAACUGGUGGCUUUGUUACGUGGA